rnacentral:lncRNA from 1 species
AUGCCAGCGCAAACUGCCGUUAAAACCACACCUGCAAAACCGACUUCUGCGGCCAAAACCCCCACAGAAUCCACUCCCGGUAAACCGUCGCCUGCAGAGCCGGACAGUAGACCCGCCGCGGGCAGAAACGCUCCGAGCAGAGCCAAACGUAAGGAAACGGCCGCUCCUGCGGUGGCCAAAACUCCCACGAGAGCUUCGCUGAGGUCGGCUCCGGAGAAGCCGGCAGACUCCAAACAGACCGCUGAACGGGCUCCGACUUCGGACGUUGUUUCCGAGACUCCCGUGAACAGAAGAAGGAGCAGGAGGGCGGCUUCAGGAGGGCGGAGGGAAGACACGGCUUCGUCAGAGAAUAAGGAGGAGGUGGAUGCUGAGCAGCAGAAGGAAAGGACACCUGCGAGUCCUGCUGUCAGCGCUCCAGGAGGCCAUGAACCAAAGUCUGGGCCGGCCGAAAUGUCCGAGAACGAGGGAGGAUGGAAAGAAGAGGAAGAGAAGGAGUCGUCAGACAGCCAAGGAGUCAAGAGGAAGAGAGACGGAGAGGAGGAGGAGGGCGAACAGAAGAAAACAAAGCAGGAUGAAGACGCGGAAGGAAAGAAGGAAGUGGGAACAAAAGAGAGAACGGCAGCGAGCCGAAGGGUGAAGACGAGGAGAGAAGAGGAAGAGGGUAAAAAGGCAAGACAAGACGACCGCGGAGGCGACGACGAAAAGAAAGACGUGACCACGACAGAGAGGCGAGCAACAACGAGUAGAAAGAAAGAGGAGGAGGAGGAGGAUGAAGGGAAGAAAGACGAGAAAACGGAAGGAAGAAAGAGCCGGAGGAGCAAAGGAUCAGAGAGCCACGGAGCAAAAAUAAAGGAGGAAGAGGAGGAGAAACGGAAGAGAACAAAACAGGGUGAAGGUGCGGAAGGAAAGAAAGAAAGCCAGCACAUGAAAAGAAAGGAGGAAGAGGAGGAGAAACGGAAGAAAGCGAAGCAGGAUGAAGGCGCGGAAGAGAAAACGGAAGAAAAGAAGAACUCGGGCCGGGCGAGAAAGACGAGCAGAGCCGAUGAAGAGGAAAAGGAGGACGAGAAGGAGACCCAACGAGACGGCAGCGAAGGGAGGAGGAGAACGAGAGAAAAGAAGACGGGCGGCGCAGAAGUGACGGAGAAAAGAGAGGAGGGGCGAAGAACAAAGAGGAAGAGAGAAGAAGGGAAGGAAGAAGAGCAGACAGAAGAUGUUAAGAAGAAAAAGGAGGAGGAGGAGAAAGGAGGGAGCGAGAAGACGCAGAGAGGAGAGAGAGAGGGAGAGAGGAAUAAAAAGGAGGAGGACGCUGCUAGGGAAGGAAAGAAGGAAGGGAUGAUGAAAGAGAAGAGCACGGAGGGAGGGAAGGAGGGGAAAGAAGAGGAGGAGGAGGAGAAGAAAGAGGAGAAGAAGGAAGACGGUCCUGUGGACGAGGAGCGACAGCGGCGCCUGGCUGCCAGGAGGGAGAGUUUGUUAAAAUCUCUGAAAGGGUUGCUGAGAGGAGGAAGAGGAGGGAGGAGGACGAUGAAGAACUCCCAGUAA